rfam:Sus scrofa chromosome X.
GCAGUGCCCUGCCCAGGCAGGUGCUGAUCACUUAGUCUCUGGGUCAACAGUCCCUGCCUGGGUAGAGUAAGGCU